GACGAACGCUGGCGGCGCGCCUAACACAUGCAAGUCGAGCGGGAAGCUUGGUAUUGAGACUUCGGUUGAUUUAUUAAGUGGAGAGCGGCGGACGGGUGAGUAACGCGUGAGUAACCUGCCUUACAGAGGGGGAUAACACAGAGAAAUUUGUGCUAAUACCGCAUGAAAUAGCAGAACCGCAUGGUUUAACUAUCAAAGAUUUAUCGCUGUAAGAUGGACUCGCGUCUGAUUAGCUAGAUGGCGGGGUAACGGCCCACCAUGGCGACGAUCAGUAGCCGGUCUGACGAGGAUGAACGGCCACAUUGGGACUGAGAUACGGCCCAGACUCCUACGGGAGGCAGCAGUGGGGAAUAUUGGUCAAUGACGAGAGUCUGAACCAGCCAACGUAGCGUGCAGGAUGACGGCCCUC
rnacentral:rRNA from 1 species